GAUGAACGCUGGCGGCGUGCCUAAUACAUGCAAGUCGAGCGAAUGGAUUGAGAGCUUGCUCUUAUGAAGUUAGCGGCGGACGGGUGAGUAACACGUGGGUAACCUGCCCAUAAGACUGGGAUAACUCCGGGAAACCGGGGCUAAUACCGGAUAACAUUUUGAACCGCAUGGUUCGAAAUUGAAAGGCGGCUUCGGCUGUCACUUAUGGAUGGACCCGCGUCGCAUUACCUAGUUGGUGAGGUAACGGCUCAACAAGGCAACGAUGCGUAACCGACCUGAGAGGGUGAUCGGCCACACUGGGACUGAGACACGGCCCAGACUCCUACGGGAGGCAGCAGUAGGGAAUCUUCCGCAAUGGACGAAAGUCUGACGGAGCAACGCCGCGUGAGUGAUGAAGGCUUUCGGGUCGUAAAACUCUGUUGUUAGGGAAGAACAAGGGCUAGUUGAAUAAGCUGGCACCUUGACGGUACCUAACCAGAAAGCCACGGCUAACUACGUGCCAGCCGCCGCGGUAA
rnacentral:rRNA from 1 species